AUACGGAGGAUCCGAGCGUUAUCCGGAUUUACUGGGUGUAAAGGGCGUGUAGGCGGUAUACCAAGUCAGAUGUGAAAUCUCCCGGCUCAACCGGGAGCGUGCAUCUGAAACUGGUACACUUGAGUGCUGGAGGGGAAAGCGGAAUUCCUAGUGUAGCGGUAAAAUGCGUAGAUAUGAGGAGGAACAUCGGUGGCGAAGGCGGCGUCCUGGACCCUUACGGACGCUGAGGAUCGAAAGCUAGGGAAGCAAACAGGAUUGGAGGCCCUGGUAGUCCACGCUGGAAGCGAUAAUGGCUAUGGGCCGGGCGACGCAACCAGUCCGAGCCCCAGUUACCUCAAUACGGGAUCCACCUGGGGAGCACCGCCGCUAGGGGGAAACGCAAAUAAGGGGACGGGG
rnacentral:rRNA from 1 species